UCCCCUUAUACUUUUUGAUACCCUUGACUUUAUGAGCAUCAAACUUAAGCGGUUGGAUCGCUCCCACUUUUCCUGCGCGGAUUCCUGCUGUGGAGUUAUUGGCCCCACUACCUUAGGCGGUUGUUCAACGCGCAGAGCCAAAUCUAAAUUCAUGUAGCCCAAAAUGAACAUAAUCUGUUCUUUCCACUCCGAAUAAUUAGAACCAUUAAGUAUAGGAACAGAUUCACCAAUAGGAACAGAAAAUGAAUUCAUAGCUGAAAAAUAAAAUGCAUGUUUUAUCAAUAAAAUACCACAUCUAAAUUACCACACCAAAAUUAGAAAAAUACACUUUAUAUGAUAUCACAACCCCUCCUUUGGGAGCAGAAUUAUGAACAUAAGUAUUUUUCGUUCUUUAUGCAUAUGCUUUAUAUGACAUCACAACACCUCCUUUGGGAGCAGAGUUAUGAGCAUAAAUAUGCAAUCAUUCCUUAUGCAUAUCCUUUAUAUGACAUCACAACCCCUCCUUUGGGAGCAGAGUUAUGAGCAUAAAUAUGCAAUCUCUUUGUUAGAGAUUAAUUUAAACUUUCUGUAGGUCGUGAUAAUCUCAAAUUUUCCAUAUGAAGAAAUUGUCAGCUUUGGCCAGGCAAAUUUCUCCAAACGAGUUAUAAGAAAAUUACCAUCCUACACCACCCAUCUACCUUCAUGUUAGACCUCCUUUGGGAGCAGACUAAACAUAAUAUUAGGGUGCAAUUUCGCAUGCACUUCUUUAAAGCAAUUAAUUUAUCUUUUCUUCCGGUCGGGGCCGCUUUGGCUUGCACCCGAAUAGUUGAAGUAAUAAAUUAAUCUGACUUAGUGCUGCAUAAUUAACAUGAAAAUUAUCCGGAAGCGCUACUUUGAAGUAAAUUAAAUCAUUAUUUCUUUUAAUUAGGGCCGCUUUGGCUUGCACCUAACUAAUCAAAAUAAUAAAUUAAUUCAACUCAACGCCAAACAUUANAAACAAUCUAGAUCACGCAAUAAUAAAUAUAUAUAUAUAUAUAUAUAUAUAUUGAAAUAGUGAAACUUAAGAGAAGGUACAAUUAAUUAUGAAAAAAAAUAAAAUAAUAUUUUUUAUUUUUUUUUGAGAGAAAAAUGUACUAUGCUACCGGCUUUGUUUAUUUUUUAAAAAAAAUUAACCAAAAAUAUAAAUUAAUUAAAAUUAAAAUUUAAAAUCUCAUAUAUUAACGAUUAAAUUUUUUGUCACUUAUAUUUUUUUUAUUUUGGAAAAACGACGUACAGGCAUGCUACACGUGGUAGACAUAGGUGUGGUCGCAUAAACUGCCACGUCAAUCUUAAUGGCGAUUGACGGAAAGUAGGAAACAUAUUCUGCUGCAGCGCGUACUCGCCAACCAAUCAGUCAAAUCCCUCACAACUAUCACGUUUUUUUUUCUAUAAUUUAUCAAAUAUUUAUUUUAUUAUUUUAUAAUUUAUUAAAAUUUUAUUUUACUAUUUUAUAAUUUUAACUUUAUUAUUGAUUUAGCGCAAAAAUUAACCGAGAGAAUAAUAAAAAAAAAUAAAUAGAAUACGAAAGAGAUAUAUUUUAAAUCACAAAAUAUUAAAGUAAAAAAAUAAAAUUACAGAAUUGAUGUUUGAAAUUUUUUUUUUUCCCUCUCCUCUUAUGCUUUGGUCUGUUUUUGUAGGGGACAUGCUUUGCGUCGCAAACUAGAAUGUUGAUAUUUUGGUACUAUAAUGUGGCGGACCGUUUAAAUUAUCCAUGCAAUUUAAAAUAUUAUAUAAAUUUAGUUAUAAUCAUUAAUGAUAUAAAAAAUAAUAUUAGGGGAUCUCAUGACAACAUUAUAGAAAAUAGGAAAAACUUCAAAAACCCCCCUGUAGUUUCAUUAUUUCUUACUUUAGUGAAUCAAUUUGCCCCCUUGUGAUCUCAUUUUUAUAUUUUUGAUAUCUUUUUCGUUAAUAUUUCAUUCAAUUAUAUACAAAAAACUUCAGAUAUCCAUCUAGAUUUAUCAAAUAUUCACUUUAGUACUCUUUAAUUUUAACUUUAUUAUUGAUUUAAGAAAAAAAAGAAUGAAAUUGAUAAGAAAAAGAGAAAAAAAAAAUCACAGUGGAACAAAUUGAUACAUUUUAAAUCACAGGAGAAAAAAUAAAAAUUAUGAAAUUACAGGGAAGUAUUUUUAAAGUUUUCCCUAGAAAAAAAAAAUUCUCGCCAACUCCACACACUUUAUCUUUAGUGACGUGCGCCCGUCACACUCAGCAUGCGACUUGUGACGCAGACAACCCUCCCCCACGCACGCCAUUCCCGUUUUGGGGCCGCGAAAAUUUGGAUCCGAGUCAAAGUUAUGUAGGAGGUAAUUUAAAAUCAUACAAUUUACUUCCCUAUCUAUCUAUCUAUCUAUAUAUUGAUAUCAUGGAUUUUUAUGUACAAGUCAUGCGUCUCUAUAUUAGACAUGCGCGUAUUCGUAUCAGACUCGUGUUUAACAUAGACACGUCAUAAACGUGCAUUCGACGCAAGUUCAAGUUCGUAACGCAUCCUGUAUACACACAUCUAUUUUUUUUAAUCUUUUCUAUACAUAUAUAAUAUAAGCUUAGCCUUUCGAUAAAUAUAUACAUAUUUUUUUUAGAUAAUAUAAAUAAAUUAUAUAUAGUAGGAAAUUUCUUUUCAUAAACU
rnacentral:lncRNA from 1 species